rnacentral:rRNA from 1 species
GACUCACGCGGGAAUCUUACCGGGUCCGGACACACUGAGGAUUGACAGAUAUAUACCCCGUGAUUUUAUCGCGGGGUUGAAAGAUGCUAGUUCUUUCAUGAUUAUGUGAUAGGUGGUGCAUGGCCGUUCUUAUUUCGUGGAGUGAUCUGUCUGCUUAAUUGCGUAUCAAUAAUAGAGACCUAGUAUACGCGUAGACUCAUGCGGUAGUGACCCCCCUUCCCAGGGCGCGUGUCGCACGUAUGUUAUACGCACAGGUCUCCGAUAGCAACGAACGUGACCGUACUCUAUUGUUGCGGCGACAAUACCUUUCAACGGGUAUUACCGCUGCUUAGCAAGAUUCGUCUUGCAUUAAACUAUAAAGACCGCUGUUUCUUCUUUAAACCAGAGGAAGGAAACGGCACUUACAGGUCUGGGAUGUAAUACAAACU